AUGACAACAAAACUUUGGUGGGGCAAAGAAUUCUCAUCAGCCGCCUUGUUGAGGCCAUUGCAGUGCCACUGCCUCAUGACGCAAUGGAGAUUCAGAUACACAAGUAUGCCCGGUGUUAUAUUUUAGCGCUACUAGGGGAUAAGCUUUUUAUGGACAAGUCGGGAGAUAGGGUGCAUCUGAUGUUUUUGGAGCAACUGCGGAACCUUCGUGAUCCGCCACAGUAUAGUUGGGGCAGUGGUUGCCUGGCCUGGUUGUAUCAAGAGUUGUAUCGGGCAAGCGAGAAAGGGGCAUCGCAGAUUGGUGGGGCGUGCACCUUGGUCCAGUAUUGGGCAUGGGCAAGGUUGCCAUUCUUGUGCCUGAGGAUAGAGCCUACACCUGGAUGUGAUUAUGGCCCGUGGCCGUAUGCUCCACUUGCUGUUAAGUAAGUAUUUUUUUGAUAUUUAGUGUGUUAUGCAAUGUACUCUUCUUAGUAACUAAGUAGCUACUUAUCUUAUGUUAUUUACUCGUAACUGUAGGUGGGUGCGGGUGCCAGGCUCGAAGAGUAGGCCAUCCGGGACAGCCUUGGUCGUCUAUCAUGAGCAUUAGUUACAAUGCAGCCGAACCAGGUAAUAAUAUUCAAAAAUUCUGUUUGGUUAUGUUAAUUUUCCUUAAGAAUAUGAUUGCUUCAUACUUUAACAUAUCUUCCGUUUUAAUUUUUGUUUUUCCUUGUAUCUAUGUAUUCUCCCUUGUUUCACAUUUUAAGAUGCUAUGAUAAUUGUUUUUUGUUUCUAUUGUAGAUUGUGUGGCAGCCAUACGAGGCACACUUUGCCCACCUUCCUGACUUCUGCGUUGCAGGGAGGGGUAUGUGGACAACAAGGAUGCCGCUUGUGUGUUAUUGCAUAGUGGAGAUACACCACUCGGAUCGUGUCCUUCGACAGUUUGGGUUGGCGCAAGAGCGGCCUGACCAUGUUAUGUAUGAUGAAAAGCUGCACAGAAUAGACUUGCGUGGGAAGGUGGAAAAGAAUUGGAGGCAGGAGCAUGAACUGUAUAUCAUUUCAUGGAAUAGCAGAGAACAACGACUUUGCCAUGCACCUCCUCAGACUGGUGAGACGGCCCGCGAUCAUGACUAUUACCAAUGGUACCGUCCGGUCACUCGAAAGUAUGUCGACCGCAACAGCGCUAGAUUACAUCAGCUGGUAAUGUGUUCUAAUUAUAUUUCCCAGCUUGCUUUGUUUUUUCUUUAGUACAUGUACGAACGUAGAAUCAAUUGAUUUCUUCUUUGAAAAAAUUUGGUUUGAUUUGACUGACAUCCAAUUAAAAAGAGUUUCUGUUGCAUAUAGUAUCAUAAUAAAACUUUCAGUUCUUAGUUUAGAUGAGUAUUUAAGUAGAUUAAUAAGUUCUAUAUUAUGCAUUCUAUAAUUGUUACAUUAAUGUGGAAAAUUCUGAUUGUACUGGUUCUUUCUUUGUUUCAGAUUGAAAGUCAUUUAGCGUUGUUGAAUUGGCUUCCUGUAGGCAGCCGAGAACACAAUCAUGUCCAGCGCAUCCUAUAUAAUGUGGCUGGGCUUGGUGGUGAUCCUGCAACCACUGGGCAGGCAAACAACCGUACUGAGACUGAAUCAGCAACUACUGCAGCCCCAAGCACAAGUGUAGCACCCGUAACUACACCAACCCGUGGUCGGCGUGAUACUGCAAGCCCAAGCACAAGCGUAGUUAGGGGCCGUGGUCGGCUUGCUACAGCAAGUCCAAGCACAAGCACAACAAGGGGCCGUGGUCGGCCUGCUACAGCAAGCCCAAGCCUAAUUGCAGCUAGGGGUCGUGGUCGGCCUGCUACAGCAAGCCCAAGCACAAGUGCAGCUACGGGCCGUGGUCGGCGUGCAACAACCCCUCGGGUUGUAAGUAGUCAUGAGAUACCUGCACUAAUCUUGCACGCAUCUCCCCACCCUGAGGUCCCUCCACCCAUCCCAGAUGUAUCUCCUUAAUCCGAGGUCCCUCCACCCAUUGUAGAUGUAUCUCCCCAGCCCGAGGUCCUUCCACCCAUCCCAAAUGCAUCUCCUGAGUCUGAGGUCCCUCCACCCAUGGUAGAUGCAUCUCCUCAGCCCGAGGUCCCUUCACCUACCCCACCUUCACAGCCCAGUUUCGAUCUCGGUAUGCAUUCUCAGUUGACCCCUCCAUUGCACCCCGAGACACCCUCAUACCCACCCACCAGCUCUAGUGCAUCCACUUUGGCCAUAGACCCACCCUGUACUGAACCCAUGACAAUGAUUCCCACUCUUGGCCUCUACACAGAGCAUCAUUACCCACCUACCUCAUCCUCAUCCGACCCUCUAGGACCUCCGGUUGGGACUGACACUCCACAGCCAGAUACUGAUGUACCGAACAAGAAUCCCCCUCCUCAGCCCUCACCCCCACGAGGUAGACCACAAAGUGCUAGAAGAGCUCCCACUUGUGGGACAGGUGGACAUAAAAUAGGACACAAACGCAGCUCUAUGGUAUGAUAACAUUAAUUUUCCUAUAUAUGCCUAUUUUGCAAUUCACUUUAUUCUUUACAAUUACACCGAAUAUUGAUUGUAUGCAUCUAAUGUCUUUGCAGCAUGAUGAUGAGCCUAAGGAUGAUGCCCCGCAGCCUUCUCCCCCGCCCAAACAUUACACGAGGGUUAAAAAAUGCAAAAUUGGUGAACCUUGA
rnacentral:sRNA from 1 species